UAUUUUUGGAUUAUUUCUAGCACUAACUUUUUAAUUGUUCCACAUUUUACUGCCAUUUAUAGGAUUUUGACCCAGUCUUUCAUCAAAGGCUAACAAAGAAAUAAAAAUAAAAUACUAAUAAAAACAAAGAUAUAAAUGGUCUAUAAAUUCCAGUUCAACAGGAAAAACUGUUUAAAUUAUCAUCUUGGCCUAAGUUCGAACUUCAGUUAUUUCACUUAUGUGUGAGUUUUCAAUGAUUAUUGUUGUUUCAUAUAUCUACUAAUUAAAAAAAUAAAGAAUAAAUGAAGUUCAAAUAUUUACUUUGAGAAUGAAAUUUAUGUGUUAUAACAAUUUUUACAUAGUAUUUAUUCUCUGGUUGUCGAUUUUGACAACGGCCGUGGUUUUUUCUCCGACUUUUGAAUUUUCAUAUUAUAUUCUUGUGUUGUAAUUAAUUAUGUUCUUUUAUUUUCUAUAUGCUUGUUUUUCCCAACACUCUCACGAACACCAAAUUUUUUGUAAGACUUUUACUAAGGUGUAGUGAACAAUUCAAUUGUGUGAAUUAAAGAGACAAACAUGACACAUCAAUAUACUAAAGAGUUACAUUUAAUAACAAUCAUUAUUUUAGGAAGAGCUUCUUGUAACUUCAUAGGUGCAAAAAAAAUUGAUUUAAUUAUACAGAGCAUGUUCUUUUACAUUAUAAAUAAAAUGAUCAAACAUAUAGUUUAUUACAUGCAAAGGAUGAAUAAUAUGGAUAAAUUAUUCAAGUUUGUUUAUAUUACGAUCUUCUCUUUUUUCUUAUUUUUUGUUGUAUGCAACGGUAAUAAUCUCUUUCUCGAUUUCAUCUAGCUCUUUAUAUUUCAUCCUCCAUUAUUGAUAAUUAACAUUUUUUUUUUUUUGUUUUACAUGGCAGCAUAUUUUGUACCAUUAUUGUACAUGUGUUUCAAUUCCCAAGAUUGUCCAAACAAGUUCUGCACCCACCCUGAUGUUGUGACGUGCAAAUGGUUUAUGUGUUCAUGCGUAUAGAUCACUCAUGACUAUCGGUUAAAGGUUAUUCAUCAU
rnacentral:lncRNA from 1 species